rnacentral:tRNA from 1 species
UGUUCUGUGGCUUAGUUGGUUAAAGCGCCGGACUAGUGAUACGGGUCGUGGGUUCGAAUCCCACCAAAUUAA